rnacentral:rRNA from 1 species
AGAGUUUGAUCCUGGCUCAGAAUCAACGCUGGCGGCGUGCCUCAGACAUGCAAGUCGAACGCGAAAGACUCCUUCGGGGGUCGAGUAGAGUGGCGCACGGGUGAGUAACACGUGAGUAAUUUACCUUCUCGGUGGGGAAUAACAACCGGAAACGGUUGCUAAUACCGCAUAACGCAGCGGCAUCUUCGGAUGACAGUUGUUAAAGCGGGGGAUCCGAAGCAAUUCGGACCUUGUGCCGGAAGAGAAGCUCGCGGCAGAUUAGGUAGUUGGUAGGGUAACGGCCUACCAAGCCUGCGAUCUGUAGCCGGCCUGAGAGGGCGGUCGGCCACACUGACACUGAACAUACGGGUCAGACUCCUACGGGAGGCAGCAGUCGGGAAUUUUGGGCAAUGGGCGCAAGCCUGACCCAGCAACGCCGCGUGAAGGACGAAGUUUUUCGGAAUGUAAACUUCACAAGACGGGGAAGAAUAAGUUAAGGCAAAUACCCUUGACGAUGACGGUACCCGUAGUAAGCUCCGGCUAACUCCGUGCCAGCAGCCGCGGUAAUACGGGGGGAGCAAGCGUUGUUCGGAUUUACUGGGCGUAAAGGGCGCGUAGGCGGCAAUUCAAGUCAGUUGUGAAAUCUCCGAGCUUAACUCGGAACGGUCAACUGAUACUGCUUUGCUAGAGUACAGAAGGGGCAAUCGGAAUUCUUGGUGUAGCGGUGAAAUGCGUAGAUAUCAAGAGGAACACCUGAGGUGAAGACGGGUUGCUGGGCUGACACUGACGCUGAGGCGCGAAAGCUAGGGUAGCAAACGGGAUUAGAUACCCCGGUAGUCC